AGUAGUUUAGCAUUUGGCUGCUAACCAAAAGGUCAGUGGUUCGAAUCCACGAGUCACUC
rnacentral:tRNA from 1 species